rnacentral:lncRNA from 10 species
UUUGGGAUGGCAAGCAGUGGAAGGUGAAAGCUGGGUUGUUCCUGCUGAUGGCAGUGGCAGAGUUGUGAUCCUGGCUGGAACUUAGAACUCACUUCCCCAUGGCAACCAUAGAACCGCAGGAUAUUGUUAGGUAGGUUCUAUCAUAUGUGUAGAACUCCAGAUGAGGUCUGUUGGUCAAAUAGAGUUUUGUAAGUAGAUCAUUCAGCUGGAACAAAUAAAUGUUCCUUGGCUACAGUCAAGGCGAUACCCAGCUGGUGAUGACAGGGCUGUGACAGUGGCAGCAGGGAAAUGGUGAAAGAACUGGAGGCCACCAAUAAGGUAGGGGAAAGAAUGGUCAUGACCACUUAUGAGUCUGUGUGGAGUCCCAUAGGAUCAGAACAAAGAGGUUUCUGGGGGACUGGGAUUCAGAGAUUGAGAAAGAGGGGUCUAGAACUCCCCAUGAAGCCAUAGGUACAGCUUGGGAG